rnacentral:lncRNA from 1 species
UUAUUACAAGAAGACAGAUACACACCAGUAUUUAAAUUUUGAAUCAUGCCACCCAUCACAUACAAAAAGAAACAUUCCAUAUUGUAUGGCAAGACGAGUAUGUUCAAUUGUAUUAGAUAAAACUCUUCGCAAAAGAAGGUUAGAAGAACUGAAGAUGUAUCUCUUACAGCAGAAAUAUCCAUUAAAACUUAUAGAUGACAGUAUCGAGAGGACAAAUAAAAUGUCUACAAAUCAACUAAGGACACCGAAGGAACAUACAACCGAUGAUGAUAUCCUCCCGUUUGUGACUACUCAUGAUCCGUCAUUACCAAAUGCCUUCAAGUUUAUAAAAUCGAAUUUUCCGAUUUUACAUCAAAGUGAAACAAUGAAAAAUUUGGUAACAGAAGAAUCGAUCAUUUAUAGUAGAAGACAACCGAAAAAUUUGAAACGCCAACUUACAAAAGCGCGAUUUGAUAUAGUUAAGAAGAUAUCAUCCGUACAAAUUUGUGGCGAUUCACGCUGUGGAGUAUGUUCCAGAGACAAUUAUAUUUACUUAGAAAUAGGCAGUACGAAAUAUUUCAAAAACGGUAAGAAAUUUACAGUAAACGCAAAUAUGACUUGCAAAUCAGAAAAUGUAAUCUAUUGUAUAACAUGUGUCAACUGUAAAGAAAACUACAUCGGUCAAACAGGAAAUAGUGUGUGUGAACGGGUCAGGAUCCAUAAACAGCAAAUACGGCAACCCGAGUACAGACAAAUUCCGUUGAGCGAACAUUUAGAUAUUUGUGCGGGAGGAAAAUUCAAAUUUUUCCCGUUCUUCAAAUGUACAGAACCAACAGAAGAAUACCGUAAAGAACUAGAAAGAAAAUUUAUAAAAGUGUUUGACGCCAAGCUUAAUGCUUAGUAGUUACAUGAACAAUAACGUUGCGUCAUACUACUAAUAUUUUACGAACAAUGACGUUACGUCAUAAUACUAAUGUGUUCCCCAUAACGACGUUCAUAACGACGUUCAUAGUCUUGAAAAGUCCCAAGAUGGAUGAAAGCGCUAGACAAUGCUGCUUUUAAAACUCU